GACAGAGGGUGCAAACGUUGUUCGGAAUUACUGGGCGUAAAGCGCGUGUAGGCGGCCCUGCAAGUCGGGUGUGAAAUCCCACGGCUCAACCGGUGGAAGUGCACUCGAAACUGCAGGGCUAGAGUCCUGGAGAGGAAGGUGGAAUGCUUGGUGUAGAGGUGAAAUUCGUAGAUAUGGGGAGGAACACCGGUGGCGAAGGCGGCCAUCUGGACGGAUACUGACGCUGAGACGCGAAAGCGUGGGUAGCAAACAGG
rnacentral:rRNA from 1 species